UACGCAGGUGAAAAUGGCGGCAAACAAUUAUGCAACCAUACAUGUUUGAAAAACAGAAGUGGAGCCUCUUACACAACCAAAAACAUUGCAGCAAAUAGUUCCUGGAUGAGACAAUUAAACCCAACAGGCACUGUUGACUUCAGUUUCACAAUAUGGAUGAAAUGUGAACCAGUGCAAUCACAGGGCUCAUCAAAACGUCCUGCCCUCUGUGGAAAUCGCACUCAGGUUUUUGGCUACAAACUCUCAGGCAGCAUCUACGGGAUGACAUGGAAGAAAAAAAAAA